GACGAACGCUGGCGGCGUGCCUAAUACAUGCAAGUUGAGCGAUGAAGAUUGGUGCUUGCACCAAUUUGAAGAGCAGCGAACGGGUGAGUAACGCGUGGGGAAUCUGCCUUUGAGCAGGGGACAACAUUUGGAAACGAAUGCUAAUACCGCAUAACAACUUUAAACAUAAGUUUUAAGUUUGAAAGAUGCAAUUGCAUCACUCAAAGAUGAUCCCGCGUUGUAUUAGCUAGUUGGUGAGGUAAAGGCUCACCAAGGCGAUGAUACAUAGCCGACCUGAGAGGGUGAUCGGCCACAUUGGGACUGAGACACGGCCCAAACUCCUACGGGAGGCAGCAGUAGGGAAUCUUCGGCAAUGGACGAAAGUCUGACCGAGCAACGCCGCGUGAGUGAAGAAGGGUUUCGGAUCGUAAAACUCUGUUGGUAGAGAAGAACGUUGGUGAGAGUGGAAAGCUCAUCAAGUGACGGUAACUACCCAGAAAGGGACGGCUAACUACGUG
rnacentral:rRNA from 1 species